AUUUAAAUUCAUUCAAUGCCACAGACCUGAAGGAUCUCUCUUCUCAUCAAUUGAAUGAGUUUUUAGCACAGACGCUCCAGAGGAUGGCUGCGGCUCUGCAUUCAAUCCAAGUGGGAGGACGCAAUUCCUUUGGCGCUAAAGAUGGCAACUGAACAAGGAAGAAUGAAGUUUACCCGGCCCUUAUUCAAGGAUCUUGCUGCCUUUGACAAAUCCCAUGAUCAAGCUGUCCGAACCUACCAAGAGCACAAAGCAAGCAUGCAUCCCGUGACUGCAAUGCUGGUGGGGAAAGACUUAAAAGUGGAUUAAAGACCUGCGUAUUGAUGAUUUUAGAGAUUUCUCUUUUUUAAAUGGAAUUCGUAAAGAAAUAUAAAACUUCAGCUCACAAUUAAAACUGUCUUUUUAGUUUUGGCUUUUUAUUGUUUUGUUGGUGAUUUUACUGAAAUAAAGUUGAGCUACUUCUUCUU
rnacentral:lncRNA from 1 species